CAAGCGGCGGAGCAUGCGGAUUAAUUCGAUGCAACGCGAAGAACCUUACCAAGGCUUGACAUACACCGGUAACGCCCAGAGAUGGGUGCCCCUUUGUGGUCGGUGGACAGGUGGUGCAUGGUUGUCGUCAGCUCGUGUCGUGAGAUGUUGGGUUAAGUCCCGCAACGAGCGCAACCCUCGUCCUAUGUUGCCAGCGGGUCAUGCCGGGGACUCAUGGGAGACUGCCGGGGUCAACUCGGAGGAAGGUGGGGAUGACGUCAAAUCAUCAUGCCCCUUAUGUCUUGGGCUUCACGCAUGCUACAACGGCCGGUACAAAGGGCUGCGAUACCGCGAGGUGGAGCGAAUCCCAGAAAGCCGGUCUCAGUUCGGAUUGGGGUCUGCAACUCGACCCCAUGAAGUCGGAGUCGCUAGUAAUCGCAGAUCAGCAACGCUGCGGUGAAUACGUUCCCGGGCCUU
rnacentral:rRNA from 1 species